rnacentral:snRNA from 1 species
GUACCUACUUACUUCGGUGGUACAUGUACUAAAAUUGGAACGAUACAGAGAAGAUUAGCUUGGCUCCUGCGCAAGGAUGACACGCAAAAUUGUGAAGCGUACACAUUUUUA